UACAGAGGUGGCAAGCGUUGUUCGGAAUUACUGGGCGUAAAGGACGCGUAGGCGGCCUUAUAAGUCUCGUGUGAAAGCCCUCGGCUUAACUGAGGAUCUGCACGGGAUACUGUAGGGCUCGAGUUCGGGAGAGGAAAGCGGAAUUCCGGGUGUAGCGGUGAAAUGCGUAGAUAUCCGGAGGAACACCAGUGGCGAAGGCGGCUUUCUGGACCGACACUGACGCUGAGGAGCGAAAGCGUGGGGAGCGAACAGG
rnacentral:rRNA from 1 species